rnacentral:lncRNA from 1 species
UUUAAUGGUGACUUACUGGCACAAAACUCAGAUGUAGUAUGUAAAGUGUAAUAACAGAGCAUGUGGAGGUUUUUUUAUGUACAUUUCCAUCACCGGUGACAAUCGCCCAACAACACAUAAAAAACAUAAAUACACUGAAGUAUACUGAGCUGAGGAUCCCAGAGCAGCUGCAGUUACAUUUAAAAGAAACCUUCAAAUGUAGAUAUUUACCUUUUAAUUAAUGAAAAAUUGAAUUUCCCUUGAAUUUGGUCGUCGUUUCCAUUCUAGUUACUCUAAUUUGCAUCUUUCCUUUCAUGUUGUUUCAUAAUUCAUGUUCGAUGUGGUUUUUGUUAUCAGUUGUCGCUUCUCUUGUCAGAUUAAUGUCUAAUAUCUAAGUUUGAGGCUGUUGUUUCACUUUGAGCUGGUGUUGUUGUGCCGCCGCGCUUCUUGCAGGCGUUCAUGGAGGACGAAGGUCGUCAGAGGACCGCCAAGUUCAUCAGCCAUCGGUUUGUACCUAGAGAUGUGAACAGGCAGUUGAGUUGGCGUGGCGUCGCUCCGCUUGGCUCGAGCGUUGCUCUGCUCUGGUCCAACAGGUGUGUGGGCGUCAGUGAUCAGCUGCAGAUGUUUGCUAAAGAGAAGGAAAGAACAAGCUGCUGCUUGCCACGCCGGGCGCCAAAGCGGCGGCCCUCCUCCGAAACACCGACGGCACGAGACGACGGCAAACUCCUCCUGCCAAGAAAAAGAAAACGGGGAAAGGAAACCAAGAAGAGGAGGAGGAGGAGGAUGAAGGGCAGGCUGGUGAUGAGAGCACAGGGGGCAAGAGGUCAAAGGGCAAAGGAUGUAAAGCAAAAGGAAGCAAAAAGACCAAAGGAAAAAAAACAGCCGACGGCAGAGGACGGAGAACCCGAAGCUCCUGUCACGCAGCCUCCAGCCGGAGACGAAGCUGCAUCCUGCGACGAACCUCUGCCUCCUGAGGCGGAGACGGUUUCUGCAGCAGCUCCGGAGGAGCCGUCCAGCUCAGCUCCCGCCUCCUCUCCAACUCGCACUGAGGCUUCGAGCGCAGCAGAGGACGCCGCCGGCAGCAGAGACGAACCCGUGAGCGGCUGUAGCGUCGUUAGCCUGCUGGAGGUAGGCCCGGUCGCUCGGCCGUUCGGCGUCGUGUCGGAGGAUCGGCGCUCACGGCUCUCCUCCUGCAGGUCCCUCAUUCGUGCAGCGGUCUCGGGAGACGUACCGCCUGCUGAAGAGGAAGAACCUGAUCGUGGAGGCCAUCAACAACCUCAGGAUCAUCGAGGGUUUCUUCCCGCUGCAGAAGAUGAUCAUCGAGCAGGAGAAGCAGGAAGGCGUCAGUUCAAAGUGCUGCAAGAAAAACCGUCCUCCGUCUCGUCCAGGGCCUGUCGAAGAAAGGCUUGCUCAAGCUUUACACGACCUCCGUCGUCCAGGACGGGGUCACCAAGAAGGCGCGCGCACACACACUUUGUGAAAAAGCAGCGCCAUGCUCUAAAGGAUGACUCCGUUAAAAUCACACUCCGCUGUCCUCUUGCAGGUUGA